UGGGGAAUUUUGGACAAUGGGCGCAAGCCUGAUCCAGCCAUGCCGCGUGUCUGAAGAAGGCCUUCGGGUUGUAAAGGACUUUUGUCAGGGAAGAAAAGGAUAGGGUUAAUACCCCUGUCUGAUGACGGUACCUGAAGAAUAAGCACCGGCUAACUACGUGCCAGCAGCCGCGGUAAUACGUAGGGUGCGAGCGUUAAUCGGAAUUACUGGGCGUAAAGCGGGCGCAGACGGUUACUUAAGCAGGAUGUGAAAUCCCCGGGCUCAACCUGGGAACUGCGUUCUGAACUGGGUGACUAGAGUGUGUCAGAGGGAGGUAGAAUUCCACGUGUAGCAGUGAAAUGCGUAGAGAUGUGGAGGAAUACCGAUGGCGAAGGCAGCCUCCUGGGAUAACACUGACGUUCAUGCCCGAAAGCGUGGGUAGCAAACAGGAUUAGAUACCCUGGUAGUCCACGCCCUAAACGAUGUCGAUUAGCUGUUGGGCAGCUUGACUGCUUAGUAGCGAAGCUAACGCGUGAAAUCGACCGCCUGGGGAGUACGGUCGCAAGAUUAAAACUC
rnacentral:rRNA from 1 species